rnacentral:rRNA from 1 species
CUACGGGAGGCUGCAGUGGGGGAUAUUGCACAAUGGAGGAAACUCUGAUGCAGCAACGCCGCGUGAGGGAAGAAGGUUUUCGGAUUGUAAACCUCUGUCCUUGGUGAAGAAACAAAUGACGGUAGCCAAGGAGGAAGCCACGGCUAACUACGUGCCAGCGGCCGCGGUGAAUACGUAGGUGGCAAGCGUUGUCCGGAUUUACUGGGUGUAAAGGGUGCGCAGGCGGGACGGCAAGUUGGAUGUGAAAUACCGAGGCUUAACUUCGGGGCUGCAUCCAAAACUGUGGUUCUUGAGAGAUGUAGAGGUAAGCGGAAUUCCGAGUGUAGCGGUGAAAUGCGUAGAUAUUCGAAGGAACACCAGUGGCGAAGGCGGCUUACUGGGCAUUUUCUGACGCUGAGGCACGAAAGUGUGGGGAGCAAACAGGAUUAGAUACCCGGGUAGUC